GUUUGGUUUUAAGUAUCUGUACCAAGAAUUUAUGUUCUUCCCUUUUAGGCUUAAUAAGAGAAGCCUCUUGUUGCUGUCUUGUCAAUAGAUUUAAUGUUCUGGGGAGAUGGAACAUUUUGAAGACUUGAAUACCAGUUUUAUAGAAAUGCAAACCUGGAAUGUUUGAGGAUGCACGGGGCAGGUGAUGCAAACAGCUGUUGAUCACAGCCUGAACUGCUGAUUGACCACCUUGAGGCGAGCACUGAGUCAGCCCUGGGAGCACAGGUGAAGGCAAUUCCUAGACCCCAUUUAAGGGCUGGCUGCCACUAGGGAAGGGUCUUUGUCUGAAGAUUGGUUCUUGUGGAGUUUUGCUGUGAGCUUUCAACAACGGGCAAUUGUGGAGCCCAGUCAGACACAUCUGCAGGCACUGUCUGCUAUCAGCCUUUUGCAGGAGACUCUCCAGUAUCGCUGCCAUUUCAAAAGCGCCUCAGUCUGGUCCAGCACUGGAAAACUGCCCUUCUCUAUACGUGGCU